rnacentral:rRNA from 1 species
GACGAACGCUGGCGGCGUGCUUAACACAUGCAAGUCGAACGGUGAAGCGCUUUCCUUUUUGGUUGGUGUGGAUGAGUGGCGAACGGGUGAGUAACACGUGAGUAACCUGCCCCCUUCUUCUGGAUAACCGCAUGAAAGUGUGGCUAAUACGGGAUAUUCUGCGCCUGCUGCAUGGUGGGUGUGGGAAAGAUUGUGCCUUUGGGUGUUUUCGGUGGGGGAUGGGCUCGCGGCCUAUCAGCUUGUUGGUGGGGUGAUGGCCUACCAAGGCGGUGACGGGUAGCCGGCAUGAGAGGGUGGACGGUCACACUGGGACUGAGACACGGCCCAGACUCCUACGGGAGGCAGCAGUGGGGAAUAUUGCACAAUGGGCGCAAGCCUGAUGCAGCGACGCCGCGUGAGGGAGGGAGGCCUUCGGGGUGUGAACCUCUUUCGCCAGUGAAGCAGGCCUGCUCCUUGUGGGUGGGUUGACGGUAGCUGGAUAAGAAGCGCCGGCUAACUACGUG